rnacentral:rRNA from 1 species
UGAGAUGUUGGGUUAAGUCCCGCAACGAGCGCAACCCACGUCUUUAGUUGCCAGCAUUUAGUUGGGCACUCUAGAGAGACCGCCGGUGAUAAACCGGAGGAAGGUGUGGAUGACGUCAAGUCAUCAUGCCCCUUACAUCCUGGGCUACACACGUACUACAAUGCUACGGACAAAGGGCAGCAAGUUCGCGAGGACAAGCAAAUCCCAUAAACCGUGGCUCAGUUCAGAUCGUAGGCUGCAACUCGCCUACGUGAAGGAGGAAUCGCUAGUAAUCGCAGGUCAGCAUACUGCGGUGAAUACGUUCCCGGGCCUUGUACACACCGCCCGUCAAGUCAUGAAAGUCGGUAACACCCGAAGCCGGUGGCCCAACCCUUGUGGGGGGAGCCGUCGAAGGUGGGAUCGGCGAUUGGGA